GGGUUGUGAGGUUAAGCGACUAAGCGUACACGGUGGAUGCCCUGGCAGUCAGAGGCGAUGAAGGACGUGCUAAUCUGCGAUAAGCGCCGGUAAGGUGAUAUGAACCGUUAUAACCGGCGAUUUCCGAAUGGGGAAACCCAGUGUGAUUCGUCACACUAUCAUUAACUGAAUCCAUAGGUUAAUGAGGCGAACCGGGGGAACUGAAACAUCUAAGUACCCCGAGGAAAAGAAAUCAACCGAGAUUCCCCCAGUAGCGGCGAGCGAACGGGGAGGAGCCCAGAGCCUGAAUCAGCAUGUGUGUUAGUGGAAGCGUCUGGAAAGGCGCGCGAUACAGGGUGACAGCCCCGUACACAAAAGCGCAUGUGCUGUGAGCUCGAUGAGUAGGGCGGGACACGUGGUAUCCUGUCUGAAUAUGGGGGGACCAUCCUCCAAGGCUAAAUACUCCUGACUGACCGAUAGUGAACCAGUACCGUGAGGGAAAGGCGAAAAGAACCCCGGCGAGGGGAGUGAAAAAGAACCUGAAACCGUGUACGUACAAGCAGUGGGAGCCCCACC
rnacentral:rRNA from 1 species